rnacentral:ncRNA from 1 species
AUAUCAACCGCGUCAGGGCGACGAUGCUUCGACGCUGUGACAUACCUCCCUGUUGGACUUGGCCGAGCCUCGCGCUCGGCUUUUUUU